AAAAAUUUAUACGAAAGAUUUUAUUAUUGUCGAACGUGAGGGAGAGACAAUGAAUGAUUGGAGCCUAUGUGCCAAGAACCUGCAUAUAUUAGUUUGGAGAACAAUUGAAGGAAGGCUGAAUCUAUAUUUGAGAUGUUCAUCGUCGCUGAAGCACGAAGAAAGUACGAAACAACGGGCCAUCUGCACAUAAUCGAGAUUGCUGAACACAAAAAUAUCCAACAAAUUACUCCGCAUCCUAACAAUUGGGGAGUUCGCAUAUAAUACACAACCAUUUGGGGUUCCAGCGGCAUGAAUGGAAAAUAAUACUCUUGUGUUAGUAAACAUAAGAGUGUGACCUACAGCAACAAGUCAAGUUCAGCUAAAGAUCAAACGAUCAACCGUCCAGACUGAUGAACCAGACAGUUUAUUUGGAGGAAAAUAGUGUCAAACACAUUAAAAUAUUAUGCACCUAUUUACCUGUAGUGUUAGGUAUUUAUGUGUUAUUAUGACAAGUGUCCUGCUUAGUUCACUUGGCGUCUCGGCAUGUCUACUAGGCAUAGUCAGACUAUGGUCAUAUUAAGUGCCUCUGUAUAAUCAUGACAAAUGCCUCCUUCACCUUACUCAUCGUAUUACUAGAUUUAA